rnacentral:rRNA from 1 species
GAGUUUGAUUAUGGCUCAGGAUGAACGCUAGCGGGAGGCCUAACACAUGCAAGCCGAGCGGGAUUUGUUGGUUAGCUUGCUAACUGAUAAUGAGAGCGGCGUACGGGUGCGUAACACGUGUGCAACCUGCCUUUAUCUGGGGGAUAGCCUUUCGAAAGGAAGAUUAAUACCCCAUAAUAUAUUGAUUGGCAUCGAUUAAUAUUGAAAGCUCCGGCGGAUAGAGAUGGGCACGCGUAUGAUUAGCUAGUUGGUGAGGUAACGGCUCACCAAGGCUGCGAUCUUUAGGGGGCCUGAGAGGGUGAUCCCCCACACUGGUACUGAGACACGGACCAGACUCCUACGGGAGGCAGCAGUGAGGAAUAUUGGACAAUGGGUGAGAGCCUGAUCCAGCCAUCCCGCGUGAAGGACUAAGGACCUAUGGUUUGUAAACUUCUUUUAUACAGGGAUAAACCUACUCUCGUGAGGGUAGCUGAAGGU